AAGAUGAGUGGAUGAGUGACAGCAGAGCGCCGGUCAUGUGACUCUGAGGAACCGGAUGUUUGAUGAAGCCAAGCGAGGGGCGCGCAUGUUGUGCCCGCGCAUGACGUGUUAUUAUGUGUGUUUGAAUAAGGACUUCAGGGACAGCAUUGUUCUCUUAAUGGUGAAUGAACCACAACUCUGCCACGGCACACCGGCACACCACAGUGCAGGCCCCGCCCCCCAAAAACUGAGGAAAUAUGCAAAAGCUGAGAAAAGGUGACAACAACCUGUACUAAUCGGAAGCAAAAAGCUUCAUGUGAGGAUUUACUGCUUUUCUCUGCUCAGCUCUUUGUAAACAGAAAAAACAAAAUGCGUGAAGACGUCACUUUGAAAAUGAUAGCAGACAUUUUCUCUGUUUUCUGACAUUCUAUAGAAAAUAAUGAAAUAAAUGAAAUAAUUAGUUAUCGCCCUCUUUUUGUUCACAUCAUGACUAGUGGUAACUCUAACUGUUUUUUUUAAACUUGUCAUUCCAAUUUGUAAUGCUACUAUUAAUAAUUUGACUUUUAACCAGAAAUUCUACAUUUCCCUCCACUUCAGUCAAAAAUGAGUGGUAAUAAUUACCUUGUAAGUCAUAUUACCAAAAAUAGUGAAAAAGAACUGUGAGGAGCAUACACAUCAGGCCGUGGUGUGUGAGGUAUAAUAGUCAUGAAAUUUAUCACAACUUGAUUCAUAGCAACAUGUAUGAAAUAAAAAUGAAAAACACACCUGUCUUUGUCUGUAGCCAUAUACAUAAUAUAUAUGCACAUUUGUACCACACAUUUCACAAAUUUCAAGAUAUUUCACGACAACAGCACCAAAGAGCUUUUGAUUGAUUCCUCAAGCCCACUAAUACAUUCAUUCAUUCAUUAUUUUCCAGAUAUACUAAUAAUCUAUUAAUUACAGAAGAUAAUAAUUUACAAUAAAAUAACAAUUUUAAGGUACAUUUCUCAUUUCCAGUACUUUUAUACUACAAUAAUUCCACUCAGUCUCCACCAUGCAUCAGUCUUCUUAAAUCUUUUAUGAGGGCUGUGAAUUUUGAAAAUUUCACACUGGGAGGAAAGGUUAUUCUAUUGUCUUAAUGAUUGAAAAACCUGUUACCUUGUAGUAUUCAACAAAGCAAGCAGUUUACUAAGGCUGAAAAGCUUUUCUCCAGGAGUCCCCCCUCAUUCCUGCACUUAGCUCCAGCGUGGAAUAGAAAAUGUACACCAAAACUCUUGAGUAGUCACAGUGAUAUUAAAAUCACAGACAAAGAAAAUCAGGUACUGCAUCUUGACAAAAAUGCCACAAAGUAAAGAUUUUGUUGUAAAAUGUUAAAAAUCCCUGGGCUGGUGUUUAGCUCAGUUGGUAGAGUAUCC